rnacentral:rRNA from 1 species
UAUCUCUGUAGAGUCUGCAUAUCAAUAAGCGGAGGAAAAGAAACUAACUAGGAUUCCCUUAGUAACGGCGAGUGAAGCGGGAAGAGCUCAAAUUUGAAAUCUUCAAGGUUUCUACCUUGACGAAUUGUAGUUUAAAGAAGUGUUUUCUGUUGGAGUUUUGGUAAAAGUUCUUUGGAAUAGGACAUCAUAGAGGGUGAGAAUCCCGUAUUUGACCAUUAUUUCAGCUGUGUGAUACACUUUCAAAGAGUCGGAUUGUAUGGGAAUGCAGUCCAAAAUGGGUGGUAAAUUUCAUCUAAAGCUAAAUAUUGGCGAGAGACCGAUAGCGAACAAGUACCGUGAGGGAAAGAUGAAAAGAACUUUGAAAAGAGAGUUAAACAGUACGUGAAAUUGUCAAAAGGGAAGCGUUUGACACCAGUGUUGUUUUCUCGAAAAUCAAUUAAAAAAAGUUGGAUUUUGUAUUGUUAAGACCUUAUCAGCUUACUGUACUCUUUUCUUGCUUUUUUUAAUGCACUUUUCGUUUAACAAGUCAACAUCAAUUUCUUUUGUUGUAAAAGAGUCAUUGGAAGGUGGCUUUCACUUCGGUGAAAGUGUUUAUAGCCUUUGGCUUCUGCAAUCGGAGAGAUUGAGGUCUGCAGCGUAGAUCCUUCGGGGCUAGAUACGUAGAUGCUAAGUUAUAGUUUUUUAUAGACAACUUGUUGACUAUAAUUAAUCAUGUAGCUUACUCGUUUGCGCUAUUUUACCUACGCUUAGGAUGUUGAAGUCAUCGUAUCGCGC